AGAAGAGGUGAGAUUGGAAAUCAUUAUAAUGUGAUGGAGAGGAGAAAGGAGGCUGAUUAAAUGCUGAGCUUUAUUGAUAAAUGUGAAAGCAGGAAACAGUUUUAGCAAUUUUUUUUUUUUUUAAUUAACAUUUGCUGAUUAAAUGCUGAGCUUUAUUGAUAAAUGUGAAAGCAGGAAACAGUUUUAGCAAUUUUUUUUUUUUUUUAAUUAACAUUUGUGGCUAAUUUUUUUUCCAAGUCAUUUCAUGCCAUUUAAAGGCAGGUACUUGAUCAAGUUGCCAUGGAAAGCACGUUACACAUGAUAUAGCUUAGCAAUGAGGCUAAUUCUUCAAACACCUCUGAUCAACAUCAUUAUUGUUUACGCAGAGAGUGCAAUGACCAUCACAGCGAUAGACUGGAAUGAUAUCAUUUAUAGUCUUUAUAUUAUUUUCCCAUUCAGGAUCAUCUUCAUCACGAGGCCAAACCCGAUUAAAAACAAAUGCUUUUGGACCUUUGUGGUUUUGGAACUGACUCCUAAGCGCAGGUAUGAUGCUGUAGCGUCCGUUAGGUGUUGAGCAGGUUUUCACACAGGGGGAGUUCCGGGUGAAGAAAACCGCGCAGCGAUCAGGAUUUGAAUCCAGGAGGGUUUUCAUAAGUGGGUUGGGUGCUAAUCUACUGGACAUGGAAUUAAUCAGCAACAGAUACUCAGAGUGGUAGUUGUUGUUCUGUGAAUGAGGGAUUGGUUUUGGUCUGGCACCAAUCAGCUGAACACCUUUGUAAAUUUUAUCAGUACCAGCCAUGGCACGUUUCACUCCUUGUGCGUUAUUAUCACUUGGGAGGAAGUUCUGGUCGAGAGGAGCAACUUGUUCACAAUAUCUAGGUAGGACAUUAAUGCCCAAAGCAUACUGAUAAUCACCUCCAUACCUAAAACAUGAAAAAAGAGAGACAAUAAAAUAGACACAUGAGUCUCAUAUGUCACAGAAAACAUCAAUAAACUGCACUCUUCAAGGUUCUAUUGGAUAAUUAAGGGUUCUUAGCUUCAAAAAGGUUCUAAUUGGAGAGGUAAACACUUUUACAGUUUGCAGUUAAAUCUUGUUAAGCAUCGGUCAGUCUAGCAGUAGGUAUAAGCAUAUAUAGAAUAUGCUAUAUUUAUAUAAAUUGAUAAUCCACGGUUAGCCUGCUGUACAUCAGUUACUAGAUACUAACGAUAUCCAGUUACACAUUUAGCUAUGGCAAUUGUUUUGUAUUUUAAAAAUAUAUCUCAACAUUCCACCACGACCUUAGUUAUUAUCGAUCAGCUCUAAAGACAAAACAUAAAUGUAUCUUACUUGUUAUGAAGGGAGUUGAUGAUGUUAUAGAGAUUGUUCACCCCUGAAGCUGAAUGGAGCAGAAAGAGCAGGAGGAAUCCCAGCGCUCCAGAACACACCUGAUCAAAACACACACCAAACAUCUUCAUCAAUAAAAACGUGAUUUUACAGUCUACAGUGGUGCUGAAACCCAGGACCAAGAGGACCAAGUGCUUCUUGACCUGCACAGUGAGCAGCGCAAAAAUGCAACAAAAGCACUGUGUUAAAUAGAGAGGAUAAGAUGAAAAAGUCCAGGUGCUGCAGUGUAUUUCAGUAAUAAAUGAACAGGUUGUAAAAGAUAUAUUUAAUGUGUCACACAAAAUUCCUUCAGAGAGGAUGGAAUCUAAUUACGCAUCCUGAAUUGAACAGACGCUUUCACACUUAACUUACACAACUCACCAUCUCGUCUCUUGUUCAAAACACUGCAGAAGGAAGAGUAAGGAUGCCCACUGGAGCCUUUCUCAUCAGACACUACUGCUCAGAACAAAUAUAUGAGCAACUUUAUACUGAUCGUGACUCCGCCUCCUCUUUAAAAAAAACCCCACUUUU
ensembl:lncRNA